CCAAUAGCGUAUAUUAAAGUUGUUGCAGUUAAAAAGCUCGUAGUUGAAUUUCGGGGUUAGUAGAUUGGUCAUGCCUCUGGUAUGCACUGGUCUUACUGAUUCCCCCUUCCUGAUGAACCGUAAUGCCAUUAAUUUGGUGUUGCGGGGAAACUGGACUGUUACUUUGAAAAAAUUAGAGUGUUUAAAGCAGGCUAACGCUUGAAUACAUUAGCAUGGAAUAAUGAAAUAGGACGUUCGAUCUUAUUUUGUUGGUUUCUAGGAUUGACGUAAUGAUUAAUAGGGAUAGUUGGGGGCAUUAGUAUUCAAUUGUCAGAGGUGAAAUUCUUGGAUUUAUUGAAGACUAACUACUGCGAAAGCAUUUGCCAAGGAUGUUUUCAUUAAUCAAGAACGAAAGUUAGGGGAUCGAAGACGAUCAGAUACCGUCGUAGUCUUAACCAUAAACUAUGCCGACUAGGGAUCGGAUGAUGUUAAUUUUUUAAUGACUCAUUCGGCGCCUUACG
rnacentral:rRNA from 1 species